UAAACAGAAGAAGAUUUGAGAUUUAUGAGUAGGAACAAACGUGGAAAAGGUAGGGUGGCGGUAAACACGAAUUUAUUCCCAUUUCUGUAUGUUCCACCGUACUAGUAGCCUCCGCAUUUUUUACGAUAUAAUAUGGUGUUGGCGGUUU
ensembl:ncRNA T21B6.13 ncRNA